ensembl:snRNA U6 U6 spliceosomal RNA
GUGCUUGCUUUGGCAGCACAUAUACUGAAAUUGAAAUGAUACAGAGAAGAUCAGCAUGGCCCCUGUGCAAGGAUGACAUGCAAAUUCAUGAAGCAUUCCAUAUUUUC